rnacentral:rRNA from 1 species
UAGGGAAUCUUCCACAAUGGGCGAAAGCCUGAUGGAGCAACGCCGCGUGUGUGAUGAAGGGUUUCGACUCGUAAAACACUGUUGUAAGAGAAGAAUGACAUUGAGAGUAACUGUUCAAUGUGUGACGGUAUCUUACCAGAAAGGAACGGCUAAAUACGUGCCAC